GAACUAAGGUUAGACUCAUGUCAAUAGAUCUUUAGUGGAACAACUGAAGGUUUGAACGUUUUGCGAAAAUGACUAAUAGGCCUACUUUGGGCAACCAUAAAUCCUUGAUUAGUUGGAUUUGGAAAAGUACCCUUAAUGAAAGUUGUAGUAUGUAGAAAUAUCUUUCUAACGAUAUAAGGAUUAAGCCAAUCAGAGAUCGGAGCAAGGAGAUAUGAUCGUCUCAAUAUGGCUAAUAGUAAGGCACUUAAAAUGCGAUAGAAUCGGCUAAAUUUUCGAUAUGUUUGCCUUAUGGUCAAAUUUCGUGAAAAUCCGUUGCGAAUUUAAGAAAACUUAAGACAUGAAAGUUGUAGCUCCUUGAAAUAGCUUUCCAACGGUAUAUUGUGAGCCCAAACAGAGCUCUGUACAAGAAGUUAGGACCAUUUUACUGAACACUGCAUAGAACCGACACACGGGGCGCGUGAGGGCGCGUGCGAUGGAUCCGCAUCGCGGGCCGAUUGCAUAACUCUGAGUAUCGACUUGCAGAAUGUCGUGCGAUGCACGUGUAUCGCGGACCCAUCGCGUAACAGGUCGGGUUUCGGGUUAAAAGUCGGGAUUUCGCGUUUUAAGUUAUAUUUAAGCUUGGGGUUUAUUUCCCUAACACCCCUAGUCACGAAAAAUCACCCUAAAGUCAGAGGGAACAAGUUCCAAGCCUCAAGAACCCUCCAAGGUAAGUUUUAUCAUGAUUCUAGAUUAAAUUUAAGUCCCUAAUCUCUUUCUAACUUGAGUAAACCCUUCUAAUCAAUAGAGUAGUGAGUGGAACAUUAUUGUCGGGCGUGGAAACCCUAGACCUCGUAUUCAAGAGGAUUGAACGUCAAAAAGGUAAUGCUUCUACACUCUAAUCAUUCAUAAUAGUGAAUUGAUGAGUUCUUGGGAGAAUAGUAAAUGGGUUUAGUAAAGAGAAUUACAUGAACUAUAGUAGGGUUUUGGAUUGUUGACUUGUGAUUAUUAUAAUGAUAUGGGUGAUAGAGAAUGAUGUUAAUUGCACCUAAUUGAGAUUGUAGAAUCACCUAGAAGUAAUAGAAUGGGAAUUGGGUGAAGAAACACCAUUAAUGGAGAUUGUGGAGCUUUAUGCCCACUAAGUGUUUGAUAAAAUGCUUAGAUGACCAAAGCAUGAAUAUUAUUGCUAAUAUAGAAUCCCUUUGACUUGUAUUGAUAUAUAUCAAAGUUGAAAGGGUUGACGAACAUUGUAUUACGCUCAAAGGCGGAGAAUUAAGGCAACGAUAUACAGGUUGACGACUCAGCUCUUUAGGAGUGCACGUAUUAGCUACUGGUGAGCCCCAAAUUCCUUCGGGGCGUUGUCAGCUCUCUAGUUAUUUCAGUUUAUAGACAGCUCUAUUAUUCAGUAUUCUUAGAGGCUUCAUAGACACAGUUCAGACAGUCAGAUAUUUAUUAUGUUAGCCUUGUUGGCAAUUGUUCAGUUGUUUUGGUUUAGCCAUGUUGGCUACUUUCAGAUAUGUUCAGAUUGUCUAAGUAUUUCGGCAUUAUGAUAUUUCAGUCAGACCUUUAAUUAA